rnacentral:rRNA from 1 species
AUUGAACGCUGGCGGCAGGCUUAACACAUGCAAGUCGAGCGGAGAGAGGUAGCUUGCUACUGAUCUUAGCGGCGGACGGGUGAGUAAUGCUUAGGAAUCUGCCUAUUAGUGGGGGACAACAUUUCGAAAGGAAUGCUAAUACCGCAUACGUCCUACGGGAGAAAGCAGGGGAUCUUCGGACCUUGCGCUAAUAGAUGAGCCUAAUUCGGAUUAGCUAGUUGGUGGGGUAAAGGCCUACCAAGGCGACGAUCUGUAGCGGGUCUGAGAGGAUGAUCCGCCACACUGGGACUGAGACACGGCCCAGACUCCUACGGGAGGCAGCAGUGGGGAAUAUUGGACAAUGGGCGCAAGCCUGAUCCAGCCAUGCCGCGUGUGUGAAGAGGGCCUUAUGGUUGUAAAGCACUUUAAGCGAGGAGGAGGCUACUUUAGUUAAUACCUAGAGAUAGUGGACGUUACUCGCAGAAUAAGCACCGGCUAACUCUGUGCCAGCAGCCGCAGUAAGAC